AUAUGGAGAGCAAGCUGAUGUUUUUGGUGGUUUGUGUGAUUGGUUGUGCAGUGUCUUGCAUAAAGGCUGACGGGCACCUAUCAACGCCAACAAAUUUAACUUCCAACAUCACCCGCAAUGAGUGUGGAAAAACCAAACUGUGUUUGGACAACCCUAAAGGAUGUGAUCCUUCAGGCAGCUCUCAGUGUUUCUUCACCUCAGUACAGAUUAUCUUAACUACCUUCAACCUGACGGUUGAGCUCAGUGGCAACUCCAUCGGUUACAUUGCUUUAGCAGCUGGAGUGACAUCUAGUGUGGCUCAGGGCCUCAAUAUCAUCUUUGUCUGUGGCAAUAAUAAUGGCAGGUUCUUCUUCCGGACUGCAACACUCUUUAAUAAUACACUGCUGACAACAAAUGUACCCAAUGUAAACAAUAUCCAGGGUUCAAUACAACCAAGCUUGAUUCAGUGUGUUUUCAGCAUCCCCAUUGAUACAAACACCCUUAACUUCCUAAGCAAUGUCAAUGCCACAAAUGUCAACAUUAGCAACAUUGCUAAUUCCCAGCUGAAUGUUUUCCUUGACAUCUUGCAGGGUUCAACCAAUGGUGAGUUUGAUUAUUUUUCAACACACAAAAAAAUCUGGUUGUUAUUUGAUUCUGAUAUCUACCUUGAUCUCAGGACUGGACUUCUAGGUCUUUUUCUGUCCACAUUUGCAGGCUUGCAGAUACAGUAGUUUGGAAUGCAACUUCCAGGUUACUAAUCAAAUAAGCAAAUUUGUCACAUCAAACUCCCACAUCCAUGUGAACAAAACAUCUUAUAUUUUGUGUAUAUAAUCAGUCUAUAUACAGUAUAUAUAAUUUGUAGCGGGAAAAUGUAUAAUAAAUGCAAAACAGUAGCGUUUUUACUAGUUAUGUAUAAACACCGAGCUGAUAGACUGUCAUUUUGCACUUUGUUUUAUAGGAACUGUUCUGGGAGAACCAAAAAGUGUAUUUGGGUCCUCUGUUCCAGUGGAUCUAGCUAAUGUCAACUCCACUAAUGUUGUUGACCCCAUAGCUAAUUCAAAAGACAGCAUCUCACUCAACAGCCUACUGAGUCAUGGUAAAUACUUAUUUAGUCCUUCAAUUAUGUGUUAAAUCACAGUUGAAUAAAUAAAAAAUCUCAAUACAUACAGUUCAAAUAACUCUUUAUUUUCCCAACUUACAGCUGCAAUUUGCCUUCUCAGUAUCUUCUUGCAUCUGAUCUCAGGGUCCUGAGAGAGAGAUCUGAAGACUAACCAUGCUGUGGAUGGAGUAGUAUAGAUUUGCACUAGAAUCAGCAUGUUUUCCUAAAGUAUUCAUACCUCCACUGGUGUCUUUCUUUAUUUGAUUCUUAGAUUAUUCACAAACAUAUAGGAAACCCAUGUAUGUUUGACAUACACAGGGUGUUGGACACAUAUAUAAAGCUUAUAUAUAAACAUACACAUAUAUAAAGCCCAAUCACAUACACACACACACACACACGCACGCACGCACGCACGCACGCACGCACACACACACACACACACACACACACACACACACAUUAUCUUUUACAUUAUACUGACAGUGGAAAUGAUCCUGAAAACUUUUUGAAGUUACAUUAAAAGCUUAUUAACAAAAAUAAUAACAUUAAAAUACAGUGUUUUUUUUUUUUUUUUCUUUCUGGGGUGAUAUUAUCUAUUACAUACACACUGAAUAAUAUCUUCACUGCUCAUUUUGCAUGAACACCAUUUUAAGAAUCUCUGUCUACCACAAAACAAUAUAUGUGGCAGAACUAAUUGAGAGUGGUGUUUUAGAUUCUAACGAUAUUAAUAAGUAGUAAUAAAUAAAUUAUAAAUAAUUAUUCUGGAAGAUCUCUUAGACUGAACAUUUAAAAACAAAAUGAUAAAUAAAAUAGAUUACAAUUAGAUUAUGAUAAAUUUGCAACUAUCCUUCCAAGUGUGAUAAACUGUUACACUGAUAAAGAUGCAGUGUCUCAUGAUUUCUCUGCUGUACAUAAAACCUUUCAGUUAUAGUAACCUCACCUCACUCUAUCUGAAACAAAUCUUCUUUUUACACCUCAUCCAGUGAAGAGAGGUUUUGUGAGAUAUCACUACUUAUAAGCCAGCUUAUAAGCCAGAAAGCCUACAAUUCCUUCUCUAAUUGACAUGAUGACACGAGAGAGAACAAGUGGCAAAUGGAAAAUAAAGACUGUGAUUUAUGGCCUGUGAAUUUUGUGUUAUUCAAGACCCAGUAACUAUGACUGAUCCUGCUCUCAGGGCACAGGGGAAAUUGGAGCAUUGCAGAAAAAAUUAUGUGUUUAUAGUUAGAGAUAUCAUUCUUGGUGUGAACAAGGCUUAAACCACUAGAUGGCACAAAAACUCACAGCAGUACUUUUCUAAACAUCUAUGUUUCAGUAUGCACCUGGAAAUUUGGCUGAUCCUUGAUGCUUUCGCAUCGCAGUAUGCAGUAUCUCAUGAGUUAUAUGCUGUAUUUAAAACCAGUAAAACAAUCAGUUACAGCACAACCACAUCUGAUUGUAUCUAAAAAUGUACAGUAGGAAUCUUUUUACAUUUCAUGUAGCAAAGAGAGAUAUUGAACUGCUUUCCAGUAUCACUACAAUUGAUCUAAAUGAGCCUAUUAGCCACAAAGCCUAAAACCUCCUCUCUAAUUGACAUAUAGAUGGGAAAGAGAGACAAAGAGUGAUGAAUGGAAAAGAAGAAUCAUUACUGAUGGCCUGUGAAUUUCGGGUUAUUCAAAGAGCCAGUAAUCAUGACUGAUCCCGCUCUCAAGGCACAGGGGAAAUUGGAGCAUUCCAGAAAAUUGAGACAUUUUUAGCAGUGGAAGAUGAACUCUGAGGGACUCUCAACUGCUUACUGGCCAAUUCAAAAAAUUAGUCUACAGUACGUAUUUUUCCUUUCAUAUUGUAAUGUGACAUUAUGACCCUCGGGUGGUUUAAUAACCAGUUCCUCUCUGAUUGCAAAUGGGCGUGGCAUUGAUCUCUGUCAAAGUUCCACCAGAACACACACACACACAAAAAAAAAAAGAGCAGCAGGGACAACUCUGGGGAAUCAUUGGUUGCUGUGGCAGCUCUUUUGACAUUAGUUAGGAUUAAAAGGACUAAACAUACAGUUUUAGACUGAACCAACAAGCAUAUCAAUGAAAAUGUCUAAUUAAAUAAGAAAAGAGUUUGUUUCAGUGUUUCAUCAUUCAUCCAUUUAGAACCAUUUGAAAGCAAUACAAAGUUUGCACUUUGCAUUGACCAUAAUACCCUGCUGCUCCCAUUCUUUAUAUGAUUUGUUGUUGUUGUUGUUGUUUGGUUUACCUGGCAACCAGCUUUUCUUUGUCAAAGACAAUGAUAGAGCCAUUUAUCUGCGAGCUCACUUAGCCAUCAUUUUGCCAUGACCGUUCUAGUAAGAUGCAAUUUCAUCACUUGUAAUUUACCAUGUGGACAAUUAGCUUGAGCGACUGUCAUUUGCAAUGGAGUAGGAAGUCAUAAUGGAGUGAAGGAGAUGCUUUUAUUGGGCUCAGAGGGCAUUCAGAGACAGAUGAGAGCAAGGAUAUGAACGCUGGCCUCUUUGAUAAAGUGUGCCAUUAAAUGUGUGGUUGUGUGGAGGCAAACAGCUUCAAGCUGCCCUGUACUACUGUGGUUACACUAUCAAUUGUUGCGUACAGGAAGGUUGUGUAUUUACCUAAAUCUCCAAAGGGUUUCUUCGGAACACAAAGAAACUGAUAACAAUGCUCAUAAUCUUUUUAUAACAUGAUAUGUAUUACAGUUUUUACAAGCAUUUUUGCACUGAUAACAGAAUCUUUUUGCAAUUUUCAAAACUUUAGACACAUAAUUCACAAACUCACGG
ensembl:lncRNA